UGCAAGUCGAACGGUAAGGCCCCUUCGGGGGUACACGAGUGGCGAACGGGUGAGUAACACGUGGGUAAUCUGCCCUGCACUUCGGGAUAAGCCUGGGAAACUGGGUCUAAUACCGGAUAUGAGCUCCUGCCGCAUGGUGGGGGUUGGAAAGUUUUUCGGUGCAGGAUGUGCCCGCGGCCUAUCAGCUUGUUGGUGGGGUAAUGGCCUACCAAGGCGACGACGGGUAGCCGGCCUGAGAGGGUGAUCGGCCACACUGGGACUGAGACACGGCCCAGACUCCUACGGGAGGCAGCAGUGGGGAAUAUUGCACAAUGGGCGGAAGCCUGAUGCAGCGACGCCGCGUGGGGGAUGACGGUCUUCGGAUUGUAAACUCCUUUCAGUAGGGACGAAGCGAGAGUGACGGUACCUGCAGAAGAAGCACCGGCCAACUACGUGCCAGCAGCCGCGGUAAUACGUAGGGUGCAAGCGUUGUCCGGAAUUACUGGGCGUAAAGAGCUCGUAGGCGGUUUGUCACGUCGUCUGUGAAAUCCUCCAGCUCAACUGGGGGCGUGCAGGCGAUACGGGCAGACUUGAGUACUACAGGGGAGACUGGAAUUCCUGGUGUAGCGGUGAAAUGCGCAGAUAUCAGGAGGAACACCGGUGGCGAAGGCGGGUCUCUGGGUAGUAACUGACGCUGAGGAGCGAAAGCAUGGGGAGCAAACAGGAUUAGAUACCCUGGU
rnacentral:rRNA from 1 species